UGCAGUCGAACGAUGAUGCCCAGCUUGCUGGGUGGAUUAGUGGCGAACGGGUGAGUAACACGUGAGUAACCUGCCCCUGACUCUGGGAUAAGCGUUGGAAACGACGUCUAAUACUGGAUAUGACUGCCGGCCGCAUGGUCUGGUGGUGGAAAGAUUUUUUGGUUGGGGAUGGACUCGCGGCCUAUCAGCUUGUUGGUGAGGURAUGGCUCACCAAGGCGACGACGGGUAGCCGGCCUGAGAGGGUGACCGGCCACACUGGGACUGAGACACGGCCCAGACUCCUACGGGAGGCAGCAGUGGGGAAUAUUGCACAAUGGGCGAAAGCCUGAUGCAGCAACGCCGCGUGAGGGAUGACGGCCUUCGGGUUGUAAACCUCUUUUAGUAGGGAAGAAGCGUAAGUGACGGUACCUGCAGAAAAAGYWCCGGCUAACUACGUGCCAGCAGCCGCGGUAAUACGUAGGGUGCAAGCGUUGUCCGGAAUUAUUGGGCGUAAAGAGCUCGUAGGCGGUUUGUCGCGUCUGCUGUGAAAUCCCGAGGCUCAACCUCGGGCUUGCAGUGGGUACGGGCAGACUAGAGUGCGGUAGGGGAGAUUGGAAUUCCUGGUGUAGCGGUGGAAUGCGCAGAUAUCAGGAGGAACACCGAUGGCGAAGGCAGAUCUCUGGGCCGUAACUGACGCUGAGGAGCGAAAGCGUGGGGAGCGAACAGGAUUAGAUACCCUGGUAGUCCACGCCGUAAACGUUGGGCGCUAGAUGUAGGGACCUUUCCACGGUUUCUGUGUCGUAGCUAACGCAUUAAGCGCCCGCCUGGGGGAGUACGGCGCAGGCUAAACUCAAGGAAUUGAC
rnacentral:rRNA from 1 species